rnacentral:misc_RNA from 1 species
AUUGGUAAACUGUGAGUACUGUGUCCUUGAUUGGUCCUCUGCCAGUCUUGGAUGAUUCAUGGUUCUGCUGUGCCAAUGAGGGAGGAUUUAUCAUCGAAGAUGUGGACGGUGCUCUUGAUGUUGGAGUCACAGUGGUUUGAUUCAAUGAGGAUGGAGUGGAUGGAAUUGGAGGUACACCAGAUG